GGGACGAGGGAUGGAGGGAUGGAGGGAGGAGGGAAGACGGCGCCCCGCCCUCCUCCUCCUCCUCCUCCUCCUCCGCUCUCCACAUGCACGCGCGCACGCCGCCGAUUGCUCACACGGGCCGGCAGGACAUCGGAGACGUCAUGGUGUCAGCGCUCAUCUCGCUGUGUCGGUGCUCACACACUUUUGCUUUGAAAGUUUACUGUCAAUGCAAGCAGACAGAGCGGAGAGAAUCAAUGCCUUAAACUUCGGCUGGGAACUGAUAAACAAACAUCUUGAAGCAAGCGCACUUUGCAUCUUAUUUGGAGAUUCUUGUCUUCUGUUGAUAGUCUCUCAUUUCUUGGCAGCCAGAGUAAGAACAGGCGCUGAGGAUGUUUGAAUAAGUUGUGUAUAUAUAUCUCUCUCUCUAUAUCUAUAUCUAUAUCUAUAUAUGCGCAGUAUAUUGUAUGUAUCCUGUGAUAAUCCUGGUUUGAAUUUACACGCAGUAAAAAAAGCACAAGUCAAACUACAGGAACGUGCUAACUUCUUUUUGCUAUUAAAAUACAUUCAAAAUGA